AGUUUGAUCAUGGCUCAGGAUGAACGCUAGCGGCAGGCUUAAUACAUGCAAGUCGUACGGGAUCCGAGGUAGCAAUACUUUGGUGAGAGUGGCGCACGGGUGCGUAACACGUAUGCAACCUACCUAUAACCGGGACACAACCUCGAGAAAUUGAGGCUAAUAUCCCAUAACACUGCGAGAUGGCAUCAUUUUGCAGUUAAAACUCCGGUGGUUAUAGAUGGGCAUGCGCGACAUUAGCUAGUUGGUGAGGUAACGGCCCACCAAGGCUACGAUGUCUAGGGGUUCUGAGAGGAUUAUCCCCCACACUGGUACUGAGACACGGACCAGACUCCUACGGGAGGCAGCAGUAAGGAAUAUUGGUCAAUGGGCGCAAGCCUGAACCAGCCAUGCCGCGUGAAGGAUGACGGCCCUAUGGGUUGUAAACUUCUUUUGUACGGGAAAAAACCUCUGGUCGAGAAUCAGAGCUGAUGGUACCGUAAGAAUAAGCAUCGGCUAACUCCGUG
rnacentral:rRNA from 1 species